ensembl:lncRNA
CUCAGAGGCUUCAGAGUGAUGAAGGUCAACAGGAAAGGAUAUCAAGUGUCUCCCGGUGCCCCUGCUCUCCCACACCUUUAUUUAAUGGGGCACCUCAGAGCGAAGGAGGCGUCGUGACGCUUUUCAUUAACACUGAAUGUGACACAGAUUCACAGAUUCCUGGCUUCGUCAUCCGGGAUUUACGCACUUUUUGGGACGGGAAGAGAUUGACGACACAUUUUCUGGCACGCGUCUUUUGUGUAGCAGUGUGUGUUGUAGUGUGCCACUACGUUGUUUCCUAUUUCACCAUUGGAACUAAAGCAAAUAUCGGGCACUACGUUCCUGCGUUAUUGGUGCGUAAAGGCUCCGCAGCCUUAACAAGGCGUUCUGCGUUUCGUCAGUGAAAGCUGGGUAAGUUUUGCACCGAUGAGUUCCUGGCGGACACUUUGGCAUCCGAGAUAACCUGACGGAUUUUAAUUAACACAAUCUGCUACUUUCAAGACAAUUUUGGAGAACCUUCUGUGCCUCGAUCUGUUUUCAUUUCAUUUCAGCGAUUUCUUUACGCUAUAUAGAUCUUGCAAAUGGACACCUCGCUGUGACGAUCGCGUGGGAGAAACAAUGUUUUUAUGUAACACAAGUGCCAUAAAGGACUGGAGCUAUUUUCUGUCUCAGAUUUUACCUUUGCUGAAUAAAACCACACGCCUGGCCAGCAUGGACCAAGCGGAGGACGUUACGACCACCAUGGUGACAGCUCUGCAGCCGGAUAGCGCCAUGAGCGCAAGCAACCCGCCCCUCAAUUCCAACCAUACCUCUGGCAUGGAGCACGUCUUUCAGUACUCUUAUUCCGAGAGUGACCCGCUGUACACAGACUCCCGGACACGAGACUCCAUCCCGCUGCCCAAAGCGGUUCUCUACCUGGUGAUGGCAGGGCUGGUGGUGGUCGUGGUAGCCUAUGCGAUAGUUGGGCACCUCGUCAAAGAUGUGGUUAAUGAGUUUGUUGGUGGAAGCAGGUCGAUGGUUGUUGAGGGUGACGCUGGUGAAACUAGUGAACAAGGCUGGGUGUGUGGCUCUCGCGGACUUACUAACUGCAAUAAUACCGAGAUAAACUGCAUAUCCAACAACAUUAACGUGAUGGGUGAGCUGGCCGAGAGACCCCGGCUGUUGGAAAUGAGCUACAUAUCCCUGAACCACACAAACUGCCUGAGCGCCGACAGACCGGAGGAUACAGCAGUCACCAUAGAUGAGACUUUACAGCGGCGACCACCGGACACCCACUCUGGGACUUAACCUGUGAUCUUCUGACCCAUCUCGAGAGAUAUAAAGCAGCGCGUUAGCUUGCAUUGCUUGCCCAAGUGGAUUUCACGAAUGGAAGCUCUCUCCACUGUUUUAUCACGUGCAGGUGGACUGUAAUACUUGUGUAAUGUUGGGCAAGAGAAGAAUUUAGAUAGUCUUUACUUGAAUGUUGGAGGAAUUGAAUGAUGAUGUUUGUAUCAUAUCGGCCUCUUUUCUGUGGAGAUUGCUAGUUUGAGCGGCUUCAGCUGUUUUUGGCCAAGGAGGCAGAGAGACUAACGUUUUUUGUGUUAAUGUGACAUAUGCAGUUCAGAGUAACAAAAAAACAACAAUUAAUCACUCUGAAUGUACAAUACACGCUGGUCACUGCUUACAGUUAUUGUAAUUAUUGUAAGAUUUGCGUCAAAACGCUUCCAAUGACACAGGAAGGCAUCAAAUGUUAACAACCUCGCCAUUUGUUAUGUAAUAACGCUGAAACUACUGCUACAUGACCAUAAAAUGGAAGCAUUUUGUAGUGUCAUGCUCCAGUUAAAACAGAGAAGCUGAAAGUAUUGGGGCCAUUGUAAAGAACAAAUUAAACGUAGUAACCUUUCUUGUUAAAUGUCUGAACACGGCAUCACCUUUGAAGCAGAACGUGUUCAUUGUUUGUUCAUGUUUAAUGUUUAAUAUUUCCUGCAAAAAUGGCUUCAUGCCAAAGCCUUUGUUUACCUUUCUUACCUCACCGUUAAGGGCUAUGUACUGUACUGUCCAUGAGUUUGUGACAUCACUACGCUACAACAAAUAGUUGCUUAUUGGUCUGUGCAUGCUGUGAUCAUUGUGCUCUGCGCACACUGCUUCUGUAAACUCUGUGUUUGGAAAGAUAAAGUGAACUAAAGUGGCUGAACAACACUGCUCUGAUCAACUGACGGCAGGAUAGAAUCACUACUUAAAGACUAAUUGGGAGCCUGUUCUAUGUUACUGAUGGACUACUUUCUCUCUCAGAUUUACACAUGUGCAUGUUUGAGGUGACACAGAGUAAAGUGAUGCUUUCAAGGGACCUAUUUUAAGUGUAUCAUAAAACAAUUAUGUAAUUGUAUAGCAGAGGUAAUUUUCAUAUUGAUGCCGUCAACCCCGUUUAAGUCAUCCAAUAAAUAGUCUUGAGCAAAGGUGGUGGAAAUCACUUCAUUAUUAUUUUCAUACCCGAUACCGACUCUGACCUCUGGGCAUGUGCACAUGCCUAAUAUCUAACAAUAAAUGAGUUAGUACACUGAAAAAAACUAAGGUCCAAUAGAAUAUCAGUAUUCACAGAGAGAGCAUUUAACUUCACACUGAAAUAAUAAACUAUCAAUCUGAGAAGCUAUAGAGCUUAAGUUAGAUACGCCAUUUCUUUUGUUUGUCAAUGGCUUCCUUGAGCAAACAAUCAGACAAAUUUAGUGACUCAAUAUAAACAUGUUUUACAUUUUUGUAUCUUGUUUUUAAUUUAUCUAUUUUACUUCUCACCAUGUAAAUAUAUUUGUACAUACGCACUUUAACAUACUUAUCUUAUUUGUUUAUAUUCUUAAUUUUUGCUUGUAUAUUUUCAUCUACAUUUUAUUCUUAUAUUGCAGACAAAUUCCUGUGUAAAAUACACGGCAAUAAAUGGCUUCUGAUUUUAAC